rnacentral:misc_RNA from 1 species
AACUUUCAGCAACGGAUCACUUGGUUCUGGCAUCGAUGAAGAACGCAGCGAAAUGCGAUAAAUAAUGUGAAUUGCAGAAUUCAGUGAAUCAUCGAGUUUUUGAACGCACAUUGCGCCCGCUAGUAUUCUGGCGGGCAUGCCUGUUCGAGCGUCAUUUUCAACCCCCAAGCCUCCCAGCUUGGUGCUGGGGAUAUCCGGGCUUCGCCCGGAGGCCCCGAAUUUCAGUGGCGGGCUACCCGAGGCCCCGGGCGUAGUAGAAACCCUCGCCCAGGGAGCCGCGGGAUGGUCACGGCCGUUAAAACCCAAUACCGCGUAGCGGAAGGUUGACCUCGGAUCAGGUAGGAAUACCCGCUGAACUUAAGCAUAUCAAUAAGCGGAGGCU